GUCUGACGGAGCACGCCGCGUGAGUGAUGAAGGUUUUCGGAUCGUAAAGCUCUGUUGUUAGGGAAGAACAAGUACGAGAGUAACUGCUCGUACCUUGACGGUACCUAACCAGAAAGCCACGGCUAACUACGUGCCAGCAGCCGCGGUAAUACGUAGGUGGCAAGCGUUGUCCGGAAUUAUUGGGCGUAAAGGGCUCGCAGGCGGUUUCUUAAGUCUGAUGUGAAAGCCCCCGGCUCAACCGGGGAAGGUCAUUGGAAACUGGGGAACUUGAGUGCAGAAGAGGAGAGUGGAAUUCCACGUGUAGCGGUGAAAUGCGUAGAGAUGUGGAGGAACACCAGUGGCGAAGGCGACUCUCUGGUCUGUAACUGACGCUGAGGAGCGAAAGCGUGGGGAGCGAACAGGAUUAGAUACCCUGGUAGUCCACGCCGUAAACGAUGAGUGCUAAGUGUUAGGGGGUUUCCGCCCCUUAGUGCUGCAGCUAACGCAUUAAGCACUCCGCCUGGGGAGUACGGUCGCAAGACUGAAACUCAAAGGAAUUGACGGGGGCCCGCACAAGCGGUGGAGCAUGUGGUUUAAUUCGAAGCAACGCGAAGAACCUUACCAGGUCUUGACAUCCUCUGACAACCCUAGAGAUAGGGCUUUCCCUUCGGGGACAGAGUGACAGGUGGUGCAUGGUUGUCGUCAGCUCGUGUCGUGAGAUGUUGGGUUAAGUCCCGCAACGAGCGCAACCCUUGAUCUUAGUUGCCAGCAUUCAGUUGGGCACUCUAAGGUGACUGCCGGUGACAAACCGGAGGAAGGUGGGGAUGACGUCAAAUCAUCAUGCCCCUUAUGACCUGGGCUA
rnacentral:rRNA from 1 species